rnacentral:ncRNA from 1 species
GGUUCUGCCGGUAACUUCGUUGAAAGAGGGAAUCAGGUGAAAUUCCUGAGCGAUCCGGUCACUGUAAACGGGGAGCCAAGCGGUAGAAGACCAUUGUGCAUUGCAUGAGAAGGCGCUGCAGAGGCGAUGAUCCGCAAGUCAGGAAACCUGCUGAAAAA